GUCUGCAGGAAAUGGUAGGAUGGAGAAAAGGAGCAAAGAUUCUCCGGGCAGCCAGCGUGCUAUUAUUCCCCCCGCAAAUCGCAUCCGAUGACGUCCCCCCGCGGAGUCCCCCUCCAUUCAAUCGCGAGCCAUUGAUUAAGUGCUUUGCGUAAAUCUCUGCGCCAGUGUGACAUCCCGGUCUACAGGGCCGGUUUUCGACAGCCAUGCUGGUUUAAAACGCAGCCCCCGCCCCCCGAGAAGCCGGGACAAAGGCAGGCCCUGAUGGAAGACAGUUAAUCGGAUGCGAUGGACGAGCUGGUGGCCGCGGAGAGAGAAGGAGGGAGGAAAAGACAAGGUCCUUCCCCAGUUCUUCCAAGCUGCGCUCAGCGGAGCGAAGAGCAAACGGCACAUCAAAGGCAGCGCGGAAAUGAGCCUGUGUAAUCCGAGGGGGAAAAAUAGCCACCAGCGCUUCAAGAAAUGAGCCGCCCCAUCUCAUCUCGAGCAAAUCCUGGCACCCCCCUGCUCACACACACCUUAAAAAAAAGGAGAGAAAGGCCUCAUGUCAGCAGAUUCCACUCUCGGCUUCGCCUUAGGCGAUCCUGGUCGCCUCGGCGUCCCGUCAGCUUUCCGCCUCGCUAAUACUUGCACAUUUCUUCAACUCAGCAGGGCCCUGACGAGCUGGAGGAGAGGAGAUUUAUCCAGCCAAAUUGGUCUGAGUAAUAGGGAGUGCGGCUCUUAGCUGGGAUCAAUAGUGGGGGGGGGGGUGCGGUUUAAUGUAGAGAAAGGGGAGCUGAGAGAAGCAUUGGGUUGGUUUUCCACUGAAAACCUGGACCCAAUUUGCACACCCCAAAACAAGAGGCGUACCAAGUGUCCUUCGGGAUUUGUUUAUUUUAUUAUCGAUCUCAUGAAAUGUAUACACUUAUUGAUUAUUAAAAACCAAACAAGCCCUCAAAGAAAACAAUACAAUAAAAUUAUCUGCAAAAAACAACUCUUUAAAACAUUCAAAAAAUAAAAUUGUGCACAUUUAAAAUCACUGGUAGCAUUAAGAUAAAUUCAACAGUGUAAAUAAGUUUUGAUGGAUGUAACAAUGGAAUACUGAAUGGUUUGGAUUUAUGUAAAUUAUGCAGGAAUGUAUGGUAUGCAAAAUUAAACAUGGAAAGAGAAGAAGGGAAGUCAUUGAUUUAAGGUUGUUUAAAUGAAUAUUUUGAAAUGUAAAUUAGAAAUUUAAUUUAAAAUUUAUAUAUUAUAUAUAUGAGAACCGCUUCUGCCACAAUAAAACAGAUUUAAACAGAUUUAAACUUGAAACAACUUUCUGAACAUCAGGGUAGGCUUGUUUUUGUUUACAUCAGGGUAAACAAAAAUGCUCUUAGCAGCUGCCAAAAUCUGUACAGUGAAGGCACCUGCCUAAUGUCAAUAGGCAGGGAGUUCCAAAGUGCCACACUAUUUCUUACAAAUGUGGAAUGUGUCUUGUUGCAUGCUCCUCCAAUGUCUGAGCAGUGUGAGAUUCCAGGUUCUCCGGGUACUUACCCAGGGUUUGGUUUCCUCAGGCACAGUGGAGACUGUGGUGUCUUUAUGAUGUUUAUUUACACAUAUAUACAACCUGAGCCUAAGAUGGAGGGGCUCACAGCAUUAACACCCCAAGAGGGUCUUGCUUCUCCCAUAGCCACAGCCUUGGAUUCCAGCAGAAAUCAGGCAUGGCUCUGACUCUCUGUCUUCCCAGCCUGCUGCUUUGCUUCCAGCUUCCACACAUACCACUCUGGCUUUUGUCUAACUACCAGGGAGUUGAGGGAGAGGGGCUACCCAUUUGUUCUCUGGCACAGAGCCACUUCCUUUGCUUCCUUAAUGGCCCAUACUUAGAGGGCCAUUACCAAGAACUUUGGCCACUCCCUGUUGGAUCCAGGAAUUGGAAUGCACCAUGGGAAAACAGUCCUCCUAGGCCUCUGGCUAAUUAAAUAAGCUAUGACCUUUU